rnacentral:rRNA from 1 species
GCUCAGAAACUUAAAUGAAUUGACGGGGGCCCGCACAAGCGGAGGAGCAUGUGGUUUUAAUUCGAUGAUACGCGAGGAACCUUACCUGGGCUCGAACGUAAGAUGACUGUAGGUGAAAGCUUACAUCUCUUCGGAGCAUUUUACGAGGUGCUGCAUGGUUGUCGUCAGCUCGUGUCGUGAGAUGUUGGGUUAAGUCCCGCAACGAGCGCAACCCUUGUGUUUAGUUGCAAACAGGUCAAGCUGUGCACUCUAGACAGACUGCCGUGGACAACACGGAGGAAGGUGGGGAUGACGUCAAAUCAUCAUGCCCCUUAUGAUCUGGGCUACACACGUGCUACAAUGGCCGGUACAACGGGCAGCGAAGGAGCGAUCCGGAGCGAAUCCUAAAAAGCCGGUCCCAGUUCGGAUUGCAGGCUGAAACUCGCCUACAUGAAGUUGGAGUUGCUAGUAAUCGCGAAUCAGAAUGUCGCGGUGAAUGCGUUCCCGGGUCUU